CGUUACAUUUACUUGAGUAACUUUUGGGAUAAAUUGUACUUCUACGAGUAGUUUUUAUGCAACAUACUUUUACUUUUACUUGAGUAUAUUUAUAGAGAAGAAACGCUACUUUUACUCCGUUCCAUUUAUCUACAUUCAGCUCGCUACCCGCUACUUUUUUAUAUCGAUCUAUUAAUGUUUGUUUUGGUUUAUGACAGAGCUUCACAGUAGAAUCUACGCAUGCCUGCGUUUCACCAAUCACAUGCAGUCACUGGUCACGUUGGACCAAUCAAACAGAGCCAGGCGGUCACAUGACCCGACUUAAACAAGUUAAAAAACGUAUUGGGGUGUUACCAUUUAGUGGUCAAUUGUACGGAAUAUGUACUGUACUGUGCAAUCUAAUAAUAAAAGUUUCAAUCAAUCAAUCAAUCAAAAGUGUGAAGGAAAAAAGACACUUUUUAUUUCAACCGUACUUCCCGUCAUAAGCCUAAAGACUGAUCGCACAGUUCCUGUCUUCACAAUAAAAGUGCCGCUCCAUCGCGCCUGCGCUAACAAAAUAAGAGUCUCCGAAAGACAGCGCAAACAAGCUAGCAAACUACGCAGUUUGCCGCCAAUGUAUUUCUUGUAAAGUGUGUAUAAACGAAUAUGGAAGCUGGACAGAUAAGAUGCCAAAAACCAACGACUUUCAUGUGGUAUUAGACAGAAAAUAGGAACUUAUUUUCUCCUCCAUUUGAAAACGUGGACGUCUGAUUCCAAUCAUUGCAAGUCAUCAGAAUCAGUUAUUGUGGUACAAGGUUUGUCAGCCUCUGUUACAGCUUCACCGCACGCAAAACAAGAGGCACUUGCCCUGGCUCAUCUAACAUGACGGUGACUUGGCCGCAGUUCUGGAAGGACCACAGCCAAUGUUACCCAGCUUGCAAAGCCUGCUGUUUCCUUAAAAUUGGACACACUGAUCUGAUGGAGGACAAUCUACUCCCACAUGAACCGGUUGGAUAAAAUCAUGGCAUAAUAACUUAAAAAUACAACUACAACAACUUCAGAUUGUUUUCUUUGUUUUACUUCGGCCCAAAAUAGAAUAAAGACAUUGUGAAAAUGUACAAAUAAUCCUCUUGACACAACACUUCAAGUGGUAAAAAAUUCUGAGGAAAAAAAUUGGUGCAGUUUCAAAAACACCAUCAAGAACACAAUGAAAUCCUACAAACCAAUUGUACUUUAAGUUUCAGCCCAUCUAUGAUAGAACAAAAACAAAAUGAGGCAUCAAUAAAAAACACUUAUAUGUAUCAACUACCUCAUUUGUCAUUUCCAUUGUUGACUUUCUUUAAAUUUGUACAGAAGAAAAUUAUUUUCACAGACCUAUAUCAAUGUGUCUCAUGCAGCA